rnacentral:rRNA from 1 species
UACAGAGGGUGCAAGCGUUAAUCGGAUUUACUGGGCGUAAAGCGCGCGUAGGCGGCUAAUUAAGUCAAAUGUGAAAUCCCCGAGCUUAACUUGGGAAUUGCAUUCGAUACUGGUUGGCUAGAGUGUGGGAGAGGAUGGUAGAAUUCCAGGUGUAGCGGUGAAAUGCGUAGAGAUCUGGAGGAAUACCGAUGGCGAAGGCAGCCAUCUGGCCUAACACUGACGCUGAGGUGCGAAAGCAUGGGGAGCAAACAGG